AGCAGCCGCGGUAAUUCCAGCUCCAAUAGCGUAUAUUAAAGUUGUUGCAGUUAAAAGCUCGUAGUUGAAUUUCGGGAUUGACGUGAUGGUCGUGCCUUACGGGGUAUGAACUGUUGCUGUUGAUUUCUCACCUUCUGGAGAAACUUGAUGUCCUUAAUUGGGUGUCUUGCGGAUCCAGGACCUUUACCUUGAAAAAUUGAGUGUUUAAAGCAGGCAUUUUGCUCGAAUACAUUAGCAUGGAAUAAUAGAAUAGGACGGCAUGGUUCUAUUUUGUUGGUUUCUAGGAUCACCGUAAUGAUUAAUAGGGAUAGUUGGGGGCAUUAGUAUUCAAUUGUCAGAGGUGAAAUUCUUGGAUUUAUUGAAGACUAACUACUGCGAAAGCAUUUGCCAAGGAUGUUUUCAUUAAUCAAGAACGAAAGUUAGGGAUACGAAGACGAUCAGAUACCGUCGUAGUCUUAACCAUAAACUAUGCCGACUAGGAAUCAGACGAUGUUAAUUUUUAAUGACUUCGUUUAC
rnacentral:misc_RNA from 1 species